rnacentral:rRNA from 1 species
GACGAACCGUGCGAACGUUGUUCGGAAUCACUGGGCUUAAAGGGCGCGUAGGCGGGCGAUCAAGUCAGGGGUGAAAUCCUCCAGCUUAACUGGAGAACUGCCUCUGAUACUGGUCAUCUUGAGUGAGGUAGGGGCGUGCGGAACUGAUGGUGGAGCGGUGAAAUGUGUUGAUAUCAUCAGGAACUCCAGUGGCGAAAGCGGCGCGCUGGACCUUAACUGACGCUGAGGCGCGAAAGCCAGGGGAGCGAACGGG